rnacentral:lncRNA from 1 species
CCACAACAGCUUCUGCUUUUGCUGAUAAUUAAUUAAAAAUUUUGCACUUACAAUAAAUGACUCAUCUAACUCCUCCUCACCUCCUCACCUCCCAACUCCCCCACCACCUCUCAUUUCAUUCUUCUUGACCCUCUUUCUUCUUCUUCUUCUUUAAUUAUCACUUCCAUUCUCUCUUCUUCUUCCUCUUCAUCAUCACUCUCACAAUGUCAACGCCGGCGGUGGGCUCAUUUCCGGUCAAUGAUUAUGAUAACAGUAGUAAUAACAAUAACAACAAUAAUACAGAAGAUCAAGAAAGCAGCAAGAAGCAACAGCAAAAACGCAGCGUUUCGUUGUUUAAACUGUUCGCCUUUGCAGAUUUUUACGACUAUAUUUUAAUGUCCUUGGGAUCAAUUGGUGCAUGUGUUCAUGGAGUUUCGGUCCCCGUUUUUUUCAUUUUCUUCGGAAAGCUUAUUAAUAUUAUUGGCCUCGCUUAUCUUUUCCCCAAAACUGCUUCUCACAAAGUUGCCAAGGUAUAUUAUUUUAAUUAAAUUAAAUUAAUAUUUUACAUGCAUGAGUUUCUGUUUCUUUAAUUUUUUUCUUUUUGCAGUACUCAUUGGAUUUUGUAUAUCUGAGUGUGGCCAUUUUGUUUUCAUCAUGGAUAGGUAAUGAUGAUUAUUUUUUUAAUACUUCUCUUUUUUCACGUGUUCAUAUUUAAUUAAUUUUUUAAUUUGUUUUGUAAUUAAUUACCAUAUACGUUUAAACUGAAAAAAAAAAAAAAAACUGGGGGUUUUAAUUUUUUUUUUUUUUUUUUAAUAGAGGUUUCGUGUUGGAUGUAUACGGGUGAGAGACAGGCAGCGAAAAUGAGAAUGGCGUAUCUACGGUCGAUGUUAAAUCAAGAUAUAAGUUUAUUUGAUACUGAAGCUUCUACUGGAGAAGUCAUUUCUGCAAUUACAAGUGAUAUUAUUGUUGUUCAGGAUGCUCUCUCUGAGAAGGUAAAUAAUUGAAAAAAAUAAAUUAAUUUUUUUUCGUUUGUUGUUGUUUUUAGCAAAUUAUUUUUUUCCCUCUCUUUGAAGUUGCCAUUUUUGAGCUAUUUCCUUGAGGGCAGCAUUCAAAUUUUCUAUUUCAAUCCUUAUUAUUCAUUAAAUACAUAUAGGUGUCACGGUUAUAUGGGUCUAUAAAAAUUUGAGUAAUGAUACAGCUAUAAAUUCUUGUAUAAAUUUAUUUUGUACAAACUGACAUGGCAUGAUAAGAUUGGUUGAAUGAAAAUAUAAAUUAAUAAAAACAAAUCAUGUGGGCCAAGUGAUAUUUAAUUCAACCAAUUUUAUCAUGCCACAUCAGUUUGUACAAAUAAGUUUGUACAAGAGUUUGUAGUUGUAUCAUUACUCUAAAAAUUUAUACAAACUAAACAAAGAAAUUAAACAAUGAAAUUAAUUACUAAUAAUUGCAAUUAAUUGUUUGUUUUUUAUUUUAUUUUUUUUGGUCAUCCAUGAGGAUGAUUUGAAUAUGGUGAUAUUAAGGAGGGAAUUAUUCUGACAACUUUUAUAUAUGUCAGGGUAACAAAAUUUUUUAAAAUAAUUUUAUGGAUGGUAUACUACUACUACUACUACUACUUAGAUGAAGAUAUUUUAUUAUAAAAUAUUUUAUUUAUAAUUAUAUGAUUAAAAUUAUAAUUUAUUUUUAUUAUUUUUAUUUUAUAAUUUUUAUCGUGUGAUUUAAAAAAAAAUGUUUGAACAUAUCCAACGUAACCAUUGCUUAUAUUGGAUUAGCAUAAAAAUAAAAAUUCUGAAAGCAUUUAAUUAUGCAUCGGUUGGUGGUUAGAUCAUAAAUAUUGAUGAAUCAGCAAUCCACUUUCAGGGUUUUUUUAACUUGCUCUUCCGCCAGCUGUUAUACAAAUCUCUGUCACUGCUUACAAGAACAAAAUCAAAAUUUAUGAACAUUGAAAUUGCAUCCGUUUGUUUGACCAAUUUUUUAAAAAAUAUUUAUUUAAAUUCUGCUGUACGGCCAAGGCGGAUGUACGGUACAGCAGUCUCUCUCUCUCUCUCUGUCUCUAUCUCUCUCUGUGUAACAUCUUCUUGAAAAGAAAUGUCGUCAUAAAAUUAACAACUGUCAUUCACAAGAAAAUCCCACAUGACACAGUGUCCGCAACAGCACCAGCAAUUGCAACUGCAACCACAACAGCUUCUGCUUUUGCUGAUAAUUAAUUAAAAAUUUUGCACUUACAAUAAAUGACUCAUCUAACUCCUCCUCACCUCCUCACCUCCCAACUCCCCCACCACCUCUCAUUUCAUUCUUCUUGACCCUCUUUCUUCUUCUUCUUCUUUAAUUAUCACUUCCAUUCUCUCUUCUUCUUCCUCUUCAUCAUCACUCUCACAAUG